GAAGCUACUACUGGAUGUUUCAUCGGUCUUGUGCUGUCUGCCUUUUCUCGUCCAUAAUAGAGAGACUGAUGUAUCUGUCUGCAUUACCACUAUCUGUAAUACUUUGGAGAAGCAAGAAAUUUGAGCAGAGCAAGCUGGAUGCCGUGACAUUGGCUUCAAAGAAGAAGAGGAAGUAAAUAACUUGAAGUCACAGUCGACACAGAUGUCAGAAGCAAAGCUUUCACAAAGAUUCAGUACCUCUUAAUACACUACAAAAAGAAGUUAUCCAGGCUGGGAAAACAAUUUACAAUAGCCUACCACUCAAUAUAAAAGAGGAAUUGACUGCUCUCACGUUUUCAAGAAGAAAUGGAAACAAUUCAUCAUAAAACAUAUAUAAUAAUUUAAAUGAAUUUAUAGAGCUGUAAGUUUUGUAAAAGACGUAUUACGUUGAAUUAUUUAAUUCGUAUGCUAAUGUAUGUAACAUCGUAUAUCUCGUAUAAAUAUCGUCUGCAGUAUUAUUGUUUUUCUUGAGAACUUGACUGGGAUAUUGUACACUUCGCAUUUGCAUUGGUUGCAGGGUUGUUUGUUUUUCCUCUCUUAUUGUCCAUGUAAUAUUGUAUUAACUGACUUCUGCUACAUUACAAUACAAUAUCUGUACAGAAUGUUUUUUAACAUGACUAAAUAAAAAUAAAUCAAAUACAGUGAUAUCUGUUGAAAAAGGUCCUCAUACUCACGUGUACAACUGGUAUAAUGUUCACCUUAAGAGUCUACAUGACAGUGUCAGUAAAAAGACAUUCCAGA